rnacentral:rRNA from 1 species
AGAUUAGCUUGCUAAAUUUGUCAGCUAAGUGGCGCACGGGUGAGUAAUGUAUAGGUAAUAUGCCUCUUACUAAGGGAUAACAAAUGGAAACGUUUGCUAAUACCUUAUACUCCUUAUUAACAGAAGUUAAUAAGGGAAAGAUUUAUUGGUAAGAGAUUAGCCUGUAUUGUAUCAGUUAGUUGGUGGGGUAAUGGCUUACCAAGACUAUGACACAUAACUGGUUUGAGAGGAUGAUCAGUCACACUGGAACUGAGACACGGUCCAGACUCCUACGGGAGGCAGCAGUGGGGAAUAUUGCACAAUGGACGAAAGUCUGAUGCAGCAACGCCGCGUGGAGGAUGACACAUUUCGGUGCGUAAACUCCUUUUAUAUGAGAAGAUAAUGACGGUAUUAUAUGAAUAAGCACCGGCUAACUCCGUGCCAGCAGCCGCGGUAAUACGGGGGGUGCAAGCGUUACUCGGAAUCACUGGGCGUAAAGAGCAUGUAGGCGGAUUAAUAAGUUUGAAGUGAAAUCCUAUAGCUUAACUAUAGAACUGCUUUGAAAACUGUUAAUCUAGAAUGUGGGAGAGGUAGAUGGAAUUUCUGG